AGAUACGAGAUAAGAUAAAUCUAAAAAGAGAUAAAGAGAUUGGGUGACGCAGAGGUUAAGCCGGAAAGGACACUUCCAAGCUAUAUUAGUACAGCUUGGGUGCUUACAGUAUCCAGUCUUCCCUGUAGCCCUUCAGGAUCAAAAUGGCAGCGGGAGAGGGCAGCGGCGGCGGCGGAGGCAAUGCGGGAUGGUCAAUCUUUUGGCUUCUUGUACUUUUUCUCUUUGGCUUCUGGCUGGCGGGAUUCUGUGCCUUCUUGUACAUCAUCGUUAAUAUAUUCGCUGCGUGCAUUGAAGCACUGAAUCCGGUCUGCGACCUCCUGCUCAAGGGAAUUCAGUUCACCGGGACUUGCGCACAGUGUAUGGUGAAGGGAACGCCCGUCAACGAAGCUUUCAGUUAGGCACAGCGAAGACGAAGGGGAAGAGAGCAAUGUAUUUUCCCUGUGCGUUAUUUAUUAUCGUUGAGUUAGAUGGAUGGCGGAUGCUGAUGCUUAGUGACUGAGAGUUAGCUGCUUUAGAAUGGAGGGAUGUGUACGUGCUUACACAUACAUGCUUAAACAAAUGCAUAAGCACUCACACGCACGCAUGCACGGACGGGCACACACACAUGCGCGCACGCACACACACACACACACACACACACACACACACACACACACACACACACUCAAAUUGAUUUAAUGAUUAAAACUACAAUGCCAUAAAAAAACACUAUAAAAAACACAUUCUGUCAUUCAGGAGUUACUACGGUGUUUGUAACGGAACUUUAUCAAUAAGUGUCAAUCAGAUAACAAGUGGAAUGUACUGUGUCACAGAGAUAAGCUUUGGGAUACGUGUAUGACUCAGUAAGAUUCAAAUAUGUAUAGCACUCAGCACAAAUUAAAACAUCUGAUUAUAUUUUCGACUAAGUAUGUUAUCAGCGAAUUAAUAAAUGUUUACUACAA